rnacentral:rRNA from 1 species
CAAUAGCGUAUAUUAAAGUUGUUGCAGUUAAAAAGCUCGUAGUUGAAUUUUUGCUUGCCGCCGAUGUCGGAACUUCCGUACGUUCGGCGGCGUGCAUCCUUGGGUGGAACCUGUGUGGCAUUAGGUUGUCGUGCAGGGGAUGCUCAUCGUUUACUGUGAAAAAAUUAGAGUGUUCAAAGCAGGCUUACGCCGUUGAAUAUAUUAGCAUGGAAUAAUAAGAUAGGACCUUGGUACUAUUUUGUUGGUUUGCGCACCGAGGUAAUGAUUAACAGGGACAGUUGGGGGUAUUCGUAUUCCAUUGUCAGAGGUGAAAUUCCUGGAUUUCUGGAAGACGAACUACUGCGAAAGCAUUUACCAAGGAUGUUUUCAUUAA